UACGAAGGGGGCUAGCGUUGCUCGGAAUCACUGGGCGUAAAGGGCGCGUAGGCGGAUCUUUAAGUCGGGGGUGAAAGCCUGAGGCUCAACCUCAGAACUGCCUUCGAUACUGGCGACCUUGAGUCCGGGAGAGGUGAGUGGAACUCCGAGUGUAGAGGUGAAAUUCGUAGAUAUUCGGAAGAACACCAGUGGCGAAGGCGGCUCACUGGCCCGGUACUGACGCUGAGGUGCGAAAGCGUGGGGAGCAAACAGG
rnacentral:rRNA from 1 species